GGGAGGUAAAUUUCUUCAAAAGCUAAAUAUUGGCCAGAGACCGAUAGCGAACAAGUAGAGUGAUCGAAAGAUGAAAAGCACUUUGGAAAGAGAGUUAAACAGUAUGUGAAAUUGCUGAAAGGGAAGCGCUUGCAAUCAGACUUGUGUGKGGCUGUUCAGCCUGGCUUUUUGUCAGGUGUAUUCAGUUGCUAACAGGCCAGCAUCAGUUUGGAUGGCAGGAAAAAGACUCAUUGAACGUAGCUCCAUUUCGUCAGAUUUAGAGUGUUAUAGCUUUGGGUGUCAUGCUGUCAAUCCGGACUGAGGAUCGCGUCCUUGUGGCUYGGAUGCUGGCGUAAUGGUUGUAAGCGGCCCGUCUUGAAACACGGACCAAGGAGUCUAACAUCUGUGCGAGUGUUUGGGUGUCAAGCCCACACGCGUAAUGAAAGUGAACGGAGGUGGGAACCCCCUCGGGGAUGCACCAUCGACCGAUCCUGAUGUUCUCGGAUGGAUUGA
rnacentral:rRNA from 1 species